rnacentral:tRNA from 1 species
ACCUGGCUGGCUCAGUUGGAAGAGCAUGUGACUCAUGAUCUCAGGGUUGUGAGUUCGAGCCCCACAUUGGGUG